AACGAACGCUGGCGGCAUGCCUAACACAUGCAAGUCGAACGAGAUCUUCGGGUCUAGUGGCGCACGGGUGCGUAACGCGUGGGAAUCUGCCCUUUGGUUCGGAAUAACAGUUGGAAACGACUGCUAAUACCGGAUGAUGACGAAAGCCCAAAGAUUUAUCGCCAGAGGAUGAGCCAGCGUAGGAUUAGCUAGUUGGUGUGUUAAAGGCGCACCAAGGCGACGAUCCUUAGCUGGUCUGAGAGGAUGAACAGCCACACUGGGACUGAGACACGGCCCGGCCUCCUACGGGAGGAAGCAGUGGGGAAUAUUGGACAAUGGGCGAAAGCCUGAACCAGCAAUGCCGCGUGAGUGAUGAAGGCCGUAGGGUUGUAAAGCUCUUUUACCCGGGAUGAUAAUGACAGUACCGGGAGAAUAAGCUCCGGCUAACUCCGUGCCAGCCGCCGCCGUAA
rnacentral:rRNA from 1 species